AAAUUGAAGAGUUUGAUCAUGGCUCAGAUUGAACGCUGGCGGCAGGCCUAACACAUGCAAGUCGAACGGUAACAGAAAGCAGCUUGCUGCUUUGCUGACGAGUGGCGGACGGGUGAGUAAUGUCUGGGAAACUGCCUGAUGGAGGGGGAUAACUACUGGAAACGGUAGCUAAUACCGCAUAACGUCGCAAGACCAAAGAGGGGGACCUUCGGGCC
rnacentral:rRNA from 1 species